GGGCCCGCACAAGCGGUGGAGCAUGUGGUUUAAUUCGAUGAUACGCGAGGAACCUUACCAGGGCUUAAAUGUAAGUUGCAUUAGUUAGAGAUAGCUAUUUCUUCGGACUACUUACAAGGUGCUGCAUGGUUGUCGUCAGCUCGUGCCGUGAGGUGUCAGGUUAAGUCCUAUAACGAGCGCAACCCCUGUUGUUAGUUGCCAUCGAGUCAUGUCGGGAACUCUAACAAGACUGCCGGUGCAAACCGUGAGGAAGGUGGGGAUGACGUCAAAUCAUCACGGCCCUUACGUCCUGGGCUACACACGUGCUACAAUGGCCGGUACAGAGAGCAAGACUGCGAAGUUAAGCAAAUCCCUAAAAGAUACCUCAGUUCGGAUUGCACUCUGCAACUCGAGUGCAUG
rnacentral:rRNA from 1 species